AGAGUUUGAUCCUGGCUCAGAACGAACGUUAGCGGCGUGCUUAACACAUGCAAGUCGAACGAGAAAGUAUCUUCGGAUAUGAGUAGAGUGGCGCACGGGUGAGUAACACGUGGGUAACCUACCCUUUGGAGGGGGACAACAUCUGGAAACGGAUGCUAAUACCGCAUAAGUCAGUCCUAUAGACGGAUUGGGAAAGGUGGCUUCGGCUACCGCCAGAGGAUGGGCCCGCGACCCAUCAGCUAGUUGGUAAGGUAAAGGCUUACCAAGGCUACGACGGGUAGCUGGUCUGAGAGGAUGAUCAGCCACACUGGAACUGAGACACGGUCCAGACUCCUACGGGAGGCAGCAGUGGGGAAUAUUGCGCAAUGGGCGAAAGCCUGACGCAGCAACGCCGCGUGAGUGAUGAAGGCCCUCGGGUCGUAAAGCUCUGUCGUAGAGGAAAGAACACCCUACCGGGUAAUACUCGGUAGGUCUGACUGUACCUGAGGAAUAAGCAUCGGCUAACUCCGUGCCAGCAGCCGCGGUAAUACGGAGGAUGCAAGCGUUAUCCGGAAUCAUUGGGCGUAAAGCGUCCGCAGGUGGUUUUUCAAGUCUGCUGUUAAAGACUGGAGCUCAACUCCGGAAAGGCAGUGGAAACUGAGAAACUAGAGUUCGGUAGGGGUAGCGGGAAUUCCCAGUGUAGCGGUGAAGUGCGUAGAUAUUGGGAAGAACAUCGGUGGCGAAGGCGCGCUACUGGACCGAAACUGACACUCAGGGACGAAAGCUAGGGGAGCGAAAGGGAUUAGAUACCCCUGUAGUCCUAGCUGUAAACGAUGGAAACUAGGUGUGGCUUGUAUCGACCCGAGCCGUGCCGUAGCUAACGCGUUAAGUUUCCCGCCUGGGGAGUACGCACGCAAGUGUGAAACUCAAAGGAAUUGACGGGGGCCCGCACAAGCGGUGGAGUAUGUGGUUUAAUUCGAUGCAACGCGAAGAACCUUACCAGGGCUUGACAUGUCGCGAAUCUCCUUGAAAGGGGAGAGUGCCUUCGGGAGCGCGAACACAGGUGGUGCAUGGCUGUCGUCAGCUCGUGUCGUGAGAUGUUGGGUUAAGUCCCGCAACGAGCGCAACCCUCGUCUUUAGUUGCCAGCAUUAAGGUGGGCACUCUAGAGAGACUGCCGGUGACAAACCGGAGGAAGGUGGGGAUGACGUCAAGUCAGCAUGCCCCUUACGCCCUGGGCUACACACGUACUACAAUGGUUGGGACAAAGGGCAGCGACCCCGCGAGGGAAAGCGAAUCUCAUCAAACCCAGCCUCAGUUCAGAUUGCAGGCUGCAACUCGCCUGCAUGAAGGAGGAAUCGCUAGUAAUCGCAGGUCAGCAUACUGCGGUGAAUUCGUUCCCGGGCCUUGUACACACCGCCCGUCACACCAUGGAAGCUGGUCACACAC
rnacentral:rRNA from 1 species